GACGAACGCUGGCGGCGUGCUUAACACAUGCAAGUCGAACGGAAAGGCCCUGCUUUUGUGGGGUGCUCGAGUGGCGAACGGGUGAGUAACACGUGAGUAACCUGCCCUUGACUUUGGGAUAACUUCAGGAAACUGGGGCUAAUACCGGAUAGGAGCUCCUGCUGCAUGGUGGGGGUUGGAAAGUUUCGGCGGUUGGGGAUGGACUCGCGGCUUAUCAGCUUGUUGGUGGGGUAGUGGCUUACCAAGGCUUUGACGGGUAGCCGGCCUGAGAGGGUGACCGGCCUCCAUGGGCCUACGGGACGGCCCAGUCGCCUACGGGAGGCAGCAGUGGCGAAUAUUACCCAAUGGGCGCGCGCCUGUUGCAGCGACGCCGCGUUCGGGAUGACGGCCUUCGAGUGGUAAACCGCUUUCGCCUGAGACGAAGCGUGAGUGACGGUAAUGGGUAAAGAAGCACCGGCUAACUACGUG
rnacentral:rRNA from 1 species